rnacentral:rRNA from 1 species
UCGAUUAGAGUUUGAUCAUGGCUCAGGACAAACGCUGGCGGCGUGCCUAACACAUGCAAGUCGAACGAGAAGCCAGCUUUUGAUUCCUUCGGGAUGAGAAAGCAGGUAGAAAGUGGCGAACGGGUGAGUAACGCGUGGGUAAUCUACCCUGUAAGUAGGGGAUAACCCUUCGAAAGGAGGGCUAAUACCGCAUAGUAUCUUUAUCUCUAGUGAGGUAAAGAUUAAAGAUGGCCUCUGUAUAUGCUAUCGCUUCAGGAUGAGCCCGCGUCCUAUUAGUUAGUUGGUAAGGUAAUGGCUUACCAAGACUACGAUGGGUAGCCGGUCUGAGAGGAUGUACGGCCACACUGGGACUGAGAUACGGCCCAGACUCCUACGGGAGGCAGCAGUGGGGAAUAUUGCGCAAUGGGGGAAACCCUGACGCAGCGACGCCGCGUGGAUGAUGAAGGCCUUCGGGUUGUAAAAUCCUGUUUUGGGGGACGAAAUCUUAAGGGUCCAAUAAACCCUUAAANGGACG